GCAAAACGCGAAGAACCUUACCAAGGCUUGACAUACACCGGAAACUUCCAGAGAUGGUUGCCCCGCAAGGUCGGUGUACAGGUGGUGCAUGGUUGUCGUCAGCUCGUGUCGUGAGAUGUUGGGUUAAGUCCCGCAACGAGCGCAACCCUCGUCCUAUGUUGCCAGCACGUGAUGGUGGGGACUCAUAGGAGACUGCCGGGGUCAACUCGGAGGAAGGUGGGGAUGACGUCAAAUCAUCAUGCCCCUUAUGUCUUGGGCUUCACGCAUGCUACAAUGGCCGGUACAAAGGGCUGCGAUACCGCGAGGUGGAGCGAAUCCCAAAAAGCCGGUCUCAGUUCGGAUUGGGGUCUGCAACUCGACCCCAUGAAGUCGGAGUCGCUAGUAAUCGCAGAUCAGCAACGCUGCGGUGAAUACGUUCCCGGGUCUUGUACACACCG
rnacentral:rRNA from 1 species